AUAUUUUUAUUAAGUUUGCUGCACAUGGCUGAAUUAUAUUUUUCAUUUUUGGUGAUGCUUUUCUCUGGUCGGAAAAAAAUCUAUAGGCCGUUUCUUGGGAUUCCUAUUACAGUGAUUGGGUGAAUUGGAAAGUUGACAUAGUGGUGGAAUGAAGGCCUGUCUUUCGGUGUGGUAGGAGUGAAGAAACCAUCCUCUAUUUGCUUAGUGACAACCCAAAAGCAAAAGGAUUUUAGGAUGUAACAAUUUAAUGAAGUCAAUAACAAUGCAGAAAACAGCUCCUACUUGUUGCAGCAUCACACUACCUAUAGCAAAGGGUCUUUGCUUUGGCAUGGUGGUUAAUAUGGAAGCCCAAAAAUGAUGAGAUAUUCAAGACACUAAUAUUCCAGAUUUCUCUAUGACAGUGCAGGAACCAGCUCUGUGCAACUUCAACGAGCAAAGAUAAAUCUCCAAUCAUCCAUGGAGGACGUCAUCAAGUGGUAUUCAGAGUCAAGUUUGGUGCAGCUUAGAAGACUUGCAAGGAAGCAAGAAAAGGGUAGUGUAUUAGGUGGUGGAGGGUGAAUCUCUCUUUGGACGUGCAACAAACCCGAACCAUGGAGUGCAACCUGAAAUUCUGUUUCCAGCUAGCCUAAAUCUGAUUGAGAGUUGUAUAAAAGGCACCCAAAUCACAACCUACACCACUGCAGCUGUGAGCUUUGUGGCUGUAUUCAUUGCAGCGUUCUUUAUUCCAGAGAAUCCCAAAGCUGCAUACCCCUUUCUUUUACCGUUUAUGUCCAGAAAAUAAACUGUUGCAUCUGUCUUUUAGUUGCUGAUUGAAGUGCAAAUAUCCAAAAUUCUUUAGAGAGUGGUUUAUUAAUUCUGCCUUCCUGGUUAAAUGAGUUGUGUGACUGCAAUUGAAUACUUUUCUCAUCUUCGAUGUCACUGAAAGUCAGAAUAGAACAUUCAAUUGUGUCUAUUCCACGUUCAUUGCGAGUUCUGGAUUGUUGGUUAGUUUCAUUGGUGCAGAUUGAUUUAGAAAGCUGGAAGAAAUGCAAAACAGCAUAAUGCAGUGUAGGUUGGUGAUCUGAACCCGUGACACAAGCGGCUACAACACCUUUUUGGAGCCCUGACAUGUCUCUUGGUCCAAAUACUAUCACAGCAGCUGAACACAACCCCAGAAUCAUGAAGCUGUGAAGCCCAAAAGAGCAGAAGUUAAGUUGUCCAUACAGCCUGGAACACACAUCAGAAUCAACAUGACGCUGACUCCCAGUAGUUGAAGAGAACCGACCAGCGAAAUCCAGCAGAUUUCAUAGCUUUGCAUCUGUUUUGUGUAAUUGCUUUAGAUUUCAAUUUCUUUUGGUUUUUCUUUUGUAAAAGGCCAUUUUUUGGACCAAGUGUUUUGGAAGAUUCCUUGGUGCUUUUUCAACUCUUGGCAAACUUUCUUGCUUGUUUAAAUUUCACAUAGCUUAGUCGGUGAGUGUG